CAAUGGCACCCCGACAUAUGACGAAAAUCUACAUGCCAGAAUUAAAUCCUGCGACGUCGGUUCGCCUUCCCAAUGUAACAGCUGGUGUCGGCUUACCUUCCCGAUAUGAUGCCUGACACCAAAUCCUCCUGUCGAUACGAUGGCUCAAAAGUGACAAAAUGACUGUUCGACCGUACUCCAACGAAAGUGGUGUCAAAGCCAGAAUUCGACAUGACAGACAACAACUCCUUUCGUCCAAGGUAAUUAACCACUUGACGACGCACGCAAUGAUCCACCAUUGGACUCGACAGCUAUCAGGUCCAAAAUUUUAGAAAGUAUUCUCCAUUCAAAACAUCAGAAGCCUCCAUCCACCUAUACACAACCUUCUUCACGAACGAGUAGCAUUUUAAGAUCCCAAGUUAUUUUUCUCAUUAUGACAGAUAGAUGAAUCAUUUUUAAAGAAUGAGGAUGCCCUACCACUGGAACUAUAGGAAACGACAAUCUAACAUGAGAAACCAAAAAAAAUAGCCAAAAAUUUCAUUGCCAAUGAGCAAGGCAUCUUAAACCUUAUACUUCCUACCUUGUAGGAUUAAGAAAAGAGAAUUUCAGUCCCCACACAUUUCCCCA
rnacentral:lncRNA from 1 species